AUUGAACGCUGGCGGCAUGCUUUACACAUGCAAGUCGAACGGCAGCGCGGACUUCGGUCUGGCGGCGAGUGGCGAACGGGUGAGUAAUAUAUCGGAACGUACCCAGGGGUGGGGGAUAACGUAGCGAAAGUUACGCUAAUACCGCAUACGCUCUACGGAGGAAAGCAGGGGAUCGCAAGACCUUGCGCGCUUGGAGCGGCCGAUAUCUGAUUAGCUAGUUGGUGGGGUAAAGGCUCACCAAGGCAACGAUCAGUAGCUGGUCUGAGAGGACGACCAGCCACACUGGGACUGAGACACGGCCCAGACUCCUACGGGAGGCAGCAGUGGGGAAUUUUGGACAAUGGGGGCAACCCUGAUCCAGCAAUGCCGCGUGAGUGAAGAAGGCCUUCGGGUUGUAAAGCUCUUUUGUCAGGGAAGAAACGGGCGUGGCUAAUAUCCAUGCCUAAUGACGGUACCUGAAGAAUAAGCACCGGCUAACUACGUGCCAGCCGCCGCCGUAAGAC
rnacentral:rRNA from 1 species